rfam:Myotis lucifugus cont2.58563, whole genome shotgun sequence.
CGUGCACCGGUGGGGUCCCUUGGCCUGGCCUGUGGACAUCCCCCAAGGGGUCCCGGAUUGUGAGAGGGUGCAGGCCAGGCCAAGGGACCCCACUGGUGCACG